rnacentral:rRNA from 1 species
AGAGUUUGAUCCUGGCUCAGAUUGAACGCUGGCGGCGUGCUUAACACAUGCAAGUUGAACGAGAAAGGGACUUCGGUCCUGAGUAGAGUGGCGCACGGGUGAGUAACGCGUAGGUAAUCUACCUCUGCAUCUGGGAUAACACUUCGAAAGGGGUGCUAAUACCGGAUACACUUAUGGACCGCAAGGUCUAUAAGGAAAGGAGACCUCUCCUUGGAAGUUUCUGUGUAGAGAUGAGCCUGCGUCCCAUUAGCUAGUUGGCAGGGUAAAGGCCUACCAAGGCGACGAUGGGUAGCGGGUCUGAGAGGAUGAUCCGCCACACUGGAACUGAAACACGGACCAGACUCCUACGGGAGGCAGCAGUGAGGAAUAUUGGACAAUGGGCGCAAGCCUGAUCCAGCGACGCCGCGUGAGUGAUGAAGGCCUUUGGGUCGUAAAGCUCUGUCAGCAGGGAAGAACGGCCGCGCGGUUAAUACCCGUGCGGAUUGACGGUACCUGCAGAGGAAGCACCGGCUAACUCCGUGCCAGCAGCCGCGGUAAUACGGAGGGUGCGAGCGUUAAUCGGAAUUACUGGGCGUAAAGGGCGCGUAGGCGGCUGAUCAAGUCAGGUGUGAAAGCCCACGGCUUAACCGUGUGAAGUGCAUCUGAACUGGUCGGCUUGAGUAUCGGAGAGGAAAGUGGAAUUCCCGGUGUAGAGGUGAAAUUCGUAGAUAUCGGGAGGAAUACCGGUGGCGAAGGCGACUUUCUGGACGAAUACUGACGCUGAGGCGCGAAAGCGUGGGGAGCAAACAGGAUUAGAUACCCUGGUAG